GAUGAACGCUGACAGAAUGCUUAACACAUGCAAGUCGAUUCAAGUUACCUUCGGGUAAUGAGGAUGGCGGACGGGUGAGUAACGCGUAAGGAACUUGCCUCUUGGUCUGGGACAACUGUUGGAAACGACAGCUAAUACCGGAUAUUAUGAGAUUCCCGCAUGGGAAACUUAUGAAAGCUAUAUGCGCCAAGAGAGAGCCUUGCGUUCCAUUAGCUAGUUGGUGGGGUAACGGCCCACCAAGGCGACGAUGGAUAGCCGGCCUGAGAGGGUGAACGGCCACAAGGGGACUGAGACACGGCCCUUACUCCUACGGGAGGCAGCAGUGGGGAAUAUUGGACAAUGGACCAAAAGUCUGAUCCAGCAAUUCUGUGUGCACGAUGAAGGUCUUCGGAUUGUAAAGUGCUUUCAGUUGGGAAGAAGCAAGUGACGGUACCAACAGAAGAAGCGACGGCUAAAUACGUGCCAGCAGCCGCGGUAAUACGUAUGUCGCAAGCGUUAUCCGGAUUUAUUGGGCGUAAAGCGCGUCUAGGCGGAAAAAUAAGUCUGAUGUUAAAAUGCGGGGCUCAACUCCGUAUUGCGUUGGAAACUGUUUUUCUAGAGUACUGGAGAGGUGGGCGGAACUACNAGUGUAGAGGUGAAAUUCGUAGAUAUUUGUAGGAAUGCCGAUGGAGAAGUCAGCUCACUGGACAGAUACUGACGCUGAAGCGCGAAAGCGUGGGGAGCAAACAGGAUUAGAUACCCUGGNAGUCCACGCCGUAAACGA
rnacentral:rRNA from 1 species